GUUGCGAUCACUUUCGGAAUAGAUUCUGAAGUUGAACGCCAUUUGUUACUUCAUUUGCCAAAUUCACUUGUGUAAAAGCUUACAACAACUACUGCAUUACAAUCUACAUUGAUGUGACAAUUUUGACACCGCAUGCCAUUGCCAUUUGCCAUUAUCGAGGAAGAGCAAUUCCAGCUCCAGGAGAUAGAUUGUCAGAAGCAGACCAGUCCUCACUCGUGGUUUGUUUUGGCGAGUUGUUGAUUGAUUUCGUCCUGACUGUUAAUGGAUUUUCAUUGGCUGAAGCACCUGCUUUUAAGAAAGCUCCGGGAGGCGCACCUGCUAACGUUUCCGUUGGUAUAGCUCGUCUCGGUGGUUCAUCAGCAUUUCUUGGGAAGGUUUGGUACCAUUGUUAACGAUUCAACUUUUAUCUUCUUAUAUUAUCAUUAUUGGUUCUUAAACUUACAGAAGAGAGACAAUUCUGAGGCUCUAAUAGAAAGAAAAAAAAAGGUGAACAUUUUGCACAACAAACAUACAAAAUGUUUUGUUUGUAUCUGCAUGUGUGUAACAUAAUUAUCUUGCAGUUUAACUAUGAGAUACUUUGAUGUACUUAGUGGCUUAUACAAACAUUUAAUUGCCGAACAAAAAAGGAAAAGGAUGAGGAUGUUGCAGACAUCAGUUUGUGUAUACAAUAUUAUCUCCAAGUAUGCAAGUGUUGAACAAGCAUUUCAAGAUUUGAUUUUCUUUUCUUAUUUUUUGUCCUUCGGAUCGUAGGCCAGCUCGAGAUUGCUUUUACAACUCCUAAAAGUGAUUAUUAGAAAAUUUUAGUAACAAAUGGUGUUCAACAAACCUGGUUUGAUCAGAUAUAUCUACAAACCUGAAUUGAAUGACAGGACAGGUUCUCUUGCAUCAUCAACGGAAUGCAUCUUAAAUUUGACAUGAUGAGUGUUUCUUUUUCCCAUGUUUGUGUUCUUUGUGUUCUUUUUCCCAUGUUUCUACUCUAGAGUAGCCAAACGUUUGUCCCAACAUGUUAUGGAGCAUCAUGAAGUAAUGGGUAAGUCCUCCCAUGAAAUUCUUUUAUUCCUUUCUUUGAACUGUGAAAAGUCUAUAUUAGUGUUUGCACUUCUUCAAUAAGCAAUAUUGGCAAUGUGACAAAUUUAUUUAGAGUUUAAACUAAGGUUGGCGCUAUGACGUUUCAAAUGAGAUGUUGAUACUUACUUUUGGCCAGUGAAGGGUAUGAAUUUGGUUAGGGAAGUGGAGAGACUUAAAGGUUGCGAAUGUCAUCUGCAUGAAUGGAAGAAGGCAUCUAAACUCAUCGGUGAAUGAGGUUUCAAGAGAUCUCAUUGUAAAUUCCCAUUCCAAAAAGAAGCAAGCUCUUCUGGUGUUGGUCCAAUGAACAAUUGCAUACAAAUUCAUAAACAAGAAGCUUUUGUUUCCUUCAGAAAAUGAUCCCAGCAGCACGACCAAAUUCUCAUGUCUUGCAUUACUGAGAAAAUGAACUAAUAUUCGAAUUCUUUCUCUCCCUGAAAGCUUGCACUUUUGUGUUGCUUCACAGCAAUCCGGGUUGGAAAAGCUAUAUAUGGUAGGACUUUGCCAUGGAAAUUUAUGAGAAGAAGUAAUUGCCAUUUCAAAUAUAUUUAAGAUGUUUUUGUCUGCACAAUCACACAUAAAGUGAGGCACAAAAAUGAUGUCAUCCGUCUUCCUGGUGCUAACCUUGUCAGAGAUGUCAAUGUAAAGAAUAAGAUGAAAAAGAACUCAAUUAUUGAGGUCAAUAGUUGUUUUGCUAGAGGAGAUGGCCUUUUUAUUGGAGCAUUUUCUCAAGAUGAAUUAUUUACUUAACCAUUUCAUUUGGCUAGACGUUUUGGACACUUUGUUAUCUCUAGUUAUUUCGUUGUAUUCUUUACUUGUUUUUAAUGUUAAAGUUGUGGACAAAUGAUGUGACUUGUGUUGUAAACAU